GGUAUACUUGGAUCCCCUUCCCAAGAAGAUUUGAAUUGUAUAAUAAAUUUAAAGGCCAGAAACUACUUGCUUUCCCUGCCACACAAAAAUAAGGUACCAUGGAACAGGCUGUUUCCAAAUGCUGACCCCAAAGCACUUGAUUUGUUGGAUAAAAUGUUGACCUUUAAUCCUCAUAAGCGGAUUGAAGUGGAGCAAGCUUUAGCCCAUCCAUAUCUGGAGCAGUAUUACGAUCCAAGUGAUGAGCCUGUAGCUGAAGCACCCUUCAAGUUUGAUAUGGAGUUGGAUGACUUGCCUAAGGAGAAGCUGAAAGAACUGAUUUUUGAGGAAACUGCUAGAUUCCAGCCCGGAUAUCGAUCUUAAAUCGUGCAUAGGACAAGGACUUAAAGGACUGGGCAUGCUCAAACGUUGCUGUUCCUCUUCCCAGUUCUUUAUUGUUGGUCAUGUCUUGUGGCCUCUCUCAGCUUAUCCACUAACUCCUUUGAGCCAUUCAGGAGGGCAGUUCCUGGUAGUUUUGGCUUUUCAUGCUUUCAAUGAAUCUUUUAAGCCUGAAGAAUUGUAAUUGACACUCCUAUGCGUAAUGCCCUUUGUUGACCUGUUGCAGUACUGUACUGUAAGUGCACCUACUGCUGGCCGUAUUUUAACUGCUUGCUUUCUGGUUUGAAAGAUGCAGUGGUUCCUUUCACUCCUGGAUCAAUAUCCAAGAAGAUAAUUCAUUAACCUGUAAGAAGUUUACACCAUGAACUAUGGUUUUCUGACUUUACUGAAGUCGCUGGCAUUUUUUUUAGAAAAGCUACUAUUCAGGGCACUUUAAGUCAGUGACAUCCCAGAUUUUUUUUGCACUUCCUUUUUAAAUAGAAAUGGUUAGCAUCCAGCGGAGUUUAUACCAUUAUGCUAUGGAUUACAGCAUAAGUCGUGUUCACGUUAAUCUUGCUUAUGCACUUGUUUGGGUGUCCUGUGCUUUACAUGCAGGUAUUCUGUACAGCGUAAGAGCCGCAUAGGAACCCAACUUAAUUGAAUUCAUCCAAGAAACAUUUUUACCAUGUGUUGACAAAAAUCGUACCUUUUUCUCCCUGCCUUUUCCAAAAGAGAUCAUUUAAAGUUUAACCAUGUUGGAGGCGUAGUACUUCCAAAGUUCAUACCACGUAGUAGUGUUUAUAAGACUCGUGCAAAGAGAAUGAGUGGCAGCUCGCCAGCUUAUAUUUACUCACCGUGUGGUGGAAGAUUAACAAAGAACAUAAUGGCAUGAUGAGCUAAUGGUGAAUGCUUUUCUCUGUGGAAGGCAUCCAUGUGUGGUGGCAAGCGAGAAACCAAAAUAUUCUGUUAAUAAACUCAGUCUACGUACUGCAUACCAAUGAAACGCUUCAAAUAAGGAUCGAUAGUUUUUGCAUUUGAUUCUAAUCACUGACGUUCAGGAUUCUUGCAGAGAGGAACACUGCAUCUUUAAAUGAGAAAGUUUGAUUUUACUUUUGCUCCUACAGCAUGUCAGCAUCUCAAGUUCAUUUCUUGCAGCCUACACUAUGGUGAUUUGUAAUCAAGCCUCCAUGAGCUCGUGACAUGAAGUACUGUUCUGUUGUCAAGUACUAUCAAACUUUUCUGAUAAUGCUGAGUUAGGACAACCAAACAAAGCUAGCACUAAAUAAUGUUUAAAAUUGUAUACCUUUUAAUGAUCUUUUCAAGUAUUUGUUACUGAAAUUGUAUAACGUGGAGUUUACUAGGUGUUAUGUUCCAGUGCAGUGCCUCCUUUUCUUUCCCCACUGCUCUCUGUGGUGAGAAAUUUGCCUUGUUUAAAAUAAUUACUGUGCCCUCGCAUGACUGUUAAAGCUUUCUGUGCAAAGAUGAUUGUCUAAGUGCCACAUGCCUAUGAUUGAGAAAAAAAAUAAUCUAUUGUUACCUCUGAGUUGUGUUCAACUGAAAUGCUAUUCAACAAAUAACUUAGGAAAAAUAGUUCUAUUUUUAGCUUUUCAUAUCUCUGCUGUCUUUUUCUCAUUUUAUUUUGGCAGCAGUGAAGAAUGGAUUGUAUAAAGACUGCUUGCUAAUAUGAACAAAAUGCACUUGUAAUUCCUGGAAAUAAAUUUAAAUCUUAUAUCUUCACAUUAACAUUAAGAAAUAGUUUUUGGUUUCCUCUUGGGUAACGUGUUUGAAUGGAAAUCAGGUUCAAUUGCUACUGUAGUAGAUAAGGAUGCUUGCUGGUUAAUAACGCCAGGCUUCCUCAUACCAUUUAGUCUGCUCUUCAAAGAAACCUAGAAAGCCAUUAACUUAGACUUCAAUAGAUAAGGGUGCUUACAAGAUUCCAUUUCAAGAUUUUCUUUCUCCUCUAGUUUAAGUGUUAGUCCACCGAAACGAAUUUUUAAGAAGCAAGGGUUCAUCAUUAAAGGGCAUUUUCUAUUAGGAAGUUCCUGUGGUACAUGAAUCUCUGUUGCGGGGAACAUAUUAGGAGCAUUGUCAGGACACUGCACAAGCGAUCACUGAACGGUGGUGUGGAAACUAUGCUAAAAACAUUUCUACGGAAAUAUGCACUUGACUGUUGAUACUAGUGUAGAAAUUUCUCCUGAGGUUUCUACACAUCUUUACCAAAA